GGGUGACCUCGAACCAGUUAUUAUGUGUAGUAAGAAAUUGGAUUCCUUUGCAUGGAGAAUUUCAGUGGCUAGAGUUCACGGCUCCUCGAUUGAUUCAGAUUCAGUUGUAUUAAGUCUGCCCACUAAUAAUGUAGAGCAAAAUAGGUAUUGUGGUGUUUGCAGAGCCGACCCGAGCUGAACCCAAGACAGAAGUGGAGUCCUGCUGGGAACGAGCUGAAGCUUUGGACAUGGACUGGAUGAUUUAAAAAUGAAAUGUAUUAAUGAGAUGAUAUGUGUUGUAACCAUUUGUAAUGUUUGAAUAAUCUUUAGUCUGUAACAAAUACUGUAAAGUGCUCUCUCUGUAAGACCGUAUAACAGAAUCUGGUACAACUUGAUACACUGGCCGGCCUUGAGCAGUCUCUUAUUAAAAUUGGCACGAUUCCCAGAAUUUAGUGCUGAAAUCUCUGUUAAGACUUUUCAGCUUGACUACAGAGUAAUGCUGUACUAAUAAAUGUAUGUUAAUAUGCUUGUUUUAAAAGGUAUAGAUUGUUGUGGUAACAUAUAAUCAUAGGUAGUGAUAAUUAUUGUUAGUAUGAAAUACUAUGAACAAUUUUUAUGUAUAAGAUCAUAUGAUUCACUUUGCUUAAUAUGAUAGCAUACCUGAAGCUGUUUUCUAUCAAGAUGUGCAUAGUUAAAAACUGAGUCCUAAUUCAAUGAAAAGAAUUACUGUGUGCUUACAUUCAAGAAUUAUAACUUCUGAAUAUAAAGGGAAAAGGAGUUAGGAGUAUUCUUAAGGGAAAGAGAAAAACAGAAAAGGAUUAAAAGACCUCGCUUUGAGUAGGUUUCUGCUUGUAAUUCAGUUUUAAAAUAAGUAGGUGAGUAAGAACAACCUAGAGUAAAAGCAGACUAUAACUUAAGAAAAAUAAGCAUUGUCAGAAGAUACACCACAAAUAGAGAGCAGAAAAAUUGAAUAAAAUCCUAUUGUAAUAUUGCGGAUAUACUGCUGCUAGCAGAAAGUAAUAAGGUUAGCAGCCAUACGCUAUAAGGAGUAAGGUACUAGUUUGACUCUGAAGUUAAAAGACGCAGCAUAAAAAGAUGUUGUGUUUAAAAUACAAAAUAAAAGGAUUGAAUAAAUAAUGAAGAAUAAAAGCAGGAGAUAGGUUUUAGGAGAGUAAACUCUAUGUGACCUGUCUUCUUGAACUCUCUAUCAGCCUGCCCUUGGAGAAAUUAAUAUUAGCUGCUGGAAGGCCUCUUUGGUGGGAAGAAGCCGGAAUUUUUUUAUCAGAAGGCUUAUAGUAUCGGGCGGACUGCAAAAAUAGGGAGUUAGAACGGAUGGUCUUAGCACCUAAGAUAGUUAGUUGCCGGGCGGAACAAGCACGUAAGAUACAGGUGUAAGGAAAGUUCUAGGGAACAUUAAUCACUAUUAAACUUGGCAAGAAAAGAGGUGUCUCCAGCAAGCUGGUUUUAGCCAGUAUGUGUAUAGCUGAAAAAUACAGGGUCAUCUGGAUGUCAAUUAAGUUCAAGCUACCAGGGGCCCAUAGGAGAAAAACAUUACAGCUUUACAGCUCAGUAAAAUAGUUAGGUUUUCCAUAAGGAGAAAACUCUACAUUAAAAAGAUAUAAGAUAGAAGUUCCCUAUAAUACCUGCUAAACACACACCUGUAAGGAAAGAAUGAAAUUAAUUUGAGAGUGAGAUGACAUGAGGGAAUAUAUUUUUGAAAGCCAAGUUCAUGUAAUCAAUUAUAAUCAUUAUAACUAUAACUGCUAUAUUAUGAUAUAACUAUUGGUGUUGCAUAUAUUCAAAAAACACCACUUUUCUUAUAUUGGUGUUGCAUAUAUUUAAAACACCACUCCUUUUUACAAUGCACCCAUAUUAAGUAGUGAAUCAAGGUAGCAGGGAUUUUGUGAACUCUGCUUCACCUAACUUUUCAGAUGAAAGGAGGGGGGCCAAGAAUGAGUGGAUGAGAACAUGGGCUAGUGUUGAUUUGUUGGCAUAUGACUCCAAUUGAGUCUGAAGAGUUGGUUAACUUCUUUAGAGAUUACUGUUUGCCAAGAGAUAAGGACUGUCAAUAUAGAUUGAUGAUUGGAGCUAAUUGGGGCCUCCCAUUGCUUUCAAUGGGACGAAAAUUGUAUAAAAACCCUGGGCUGAUCACACUAGGGCACCACAAUCAAGACUCAGCUUGGCAGAGCCACGUGGUCCAUCCUUUGCAGAUCUCCACAGAACAGUCCUUCUCUUUUGUUCACGCUACUCUUCCUUAUAAUAGGAGAAUCCAAACCCCGCAUAGAUUUAAUGCAGAGUUUGAGGCAGAGUCCCACUAAAAACGAAGUUCAUGGCACAACUAGAUAAACAUGCACCAAGGUUGGUAACUGUGUUUGAGGAGCUGCAGGAAGAAAAAUCAACAAUAUCUUAAGUUUUGGAGCAGAGCGACAGCAUUGUCACUAGGAGAGAAGUAGUCAUCAGAGCAUUGUGUGAAUACCUGCAUGAAGACGAGCGAUAACCUGAUUUAAGAAUACUUGGAUAUUCAAGGAUAUAACGUACUAAAAGACCUUGAGCAAACUGUCAUGGGAAUACUUGUGAUCAGGAACAAAGGUGCAGCAGCAUGUGAACCCCCUGAAGAUGUCAGCAUUGUAAUCAAGUGUGUGGAAGUGAUAAAUGAUCUGAGCAGUGUGGCCAAUGCUUGUGCCUUGUUAAUGGGUUUGAUAUAUGCACUCAAUUUAACCUACCCGAAGGAGCUCAAAUACACCUUUUGAAGUAAUCCAAAAGGUGUUUAUGGAGUUAGACGGACAUAAACUGUCUCAAAGUGCACACCCUUGAGUGAUAACUACGGAAAUGUAUUGGCAUGAAAAAAUAUAUAUUUGUGAUAUUAUGAGAUAACGUUGGUUUAUUUAGCAAUUAUUGUGUUAUUUCCCAAUAAUUAUUGCAUUAUUCCGCGAUAAUAUUGCAUUAUUUUGCAAUAGUUUUUGCAUUUUCGCAAAUAACAUUGCAUUGCAAAAUAACGCAAAAAUAUUGCGAAAUAAUGCAAUAUUAUGUCAUAAUGCAAUAAUUAUUGCAAAAUAACAAAAUGUUAUCUCGUAAUAUUGCAAUAAAUAUAAAUUUCUCUGUGGUGCUGAUACAUUUCCGUAGAUAAAAGUUAAUUUAAUAUUUGAACUUGCGUUUUAAACCACUGUUAUCUUUUUAUCUUGGAUUGACAUAAAAUACCUCUGUAUUUGUGUUGACUGUGGAGCUGUUUUGGAAGAUUCUAGUGUGUGUUCAAUAUUGUUUUUAUUGAUGUACCUAUUAAGCCCAAUCCAGCUUUUUUUCAUAGUUGGAAAUUUAUUAUGAAAAGUCACAAAAUGCAGAAAUUAUAGAUUCAUCUUUUAUUUACCCCCUUUUUUUUACUGGCAGAAAAUGGAAAACCUGAGUUUACCUAAUAAAAGGAAGAAAAAAAAACAUAUUUGGUUGCCUUAAUAGGUACAUUUUUCUCAUGCCCACAGUUUGAAUACUGUUAUAGCUAGUGAUUUAUUCAGAAGAAUUUAGCACCUGACAAAUUUUAGCAAACCCAUUUUUAAUUUUCAGUGGUUAUGCAUAAGUUUGAGUUUGGUUCAUUGAUCUUGUGUCUGAAAUGUCAUCCAGAUUAGAUUUUGGAGUUUAUUAUGCCAUUGUUUUUUGAGAAGUGGAUGUGUUAGUAAAUCCUGCUUUACCAAUCAAUACUGAAGCGUGAUGAAAAGAUUGUUCUUUUGAGUGGUUGUGCUAAUUGUUUCUCAGUUUUUUCAAAUAAAAAUACUUGAU